UACGUAGGGAGCAAGCGUUGUCCGGAAUCAUUGGGCGUAAAGCGCGCGUAGGCGGCCCUGUAAGUCCGUUGUGAAAGUCAAAGGCUCAACCUUUGAAUGCCGAUGGAUACUGUCGAGCUAGAGUCCGGAAGAGGCGAGUGGAAUUCCUGGUGUAGCGGUGGAAUGCGCAGAUAUCAGGAGGAACACCAAUAGCGAAGGCAGCUCGCUGGGACGGUACUGACGCUAAGGCGCGAAAGCGUGGGGAGCGAACAGG
rnacentral:rRNA from 1 species